CACGUAGGGUGCGAGCGUUAAUCGGAAUUACUGGGCGUAAAGUGUGCGCAGGCGGCCGCGCAAGUCGAGUGUGAAAGCCCCGAGCUUAACUUGGGAAUUGCGCUCGAAACUACGUGGCUGGAGUGUGGCAGAGGAAGGUGGAAUUCCACGUGUAGCGGUGAAAUGCGUAGAGAUGUGGAGGAACACCAAUGGCGAAGGCAGCCUUCUGGGCCAACACUGACGCUCAUGCACGAAAGCGUGGGGAGCAAACAGG
rnacentral:rRNA from 1 species